rnacentral:rRNA from 1 species
GACGAACGCUGGCGGCGUGCUUAACACAUGCAAGUCGAACGGUGAAGCGCCUUCCUUUUUGGUGGGUGUGGAUGAGUGGCGAACGGGUGAGUAACACGUGAGUAACCUGCCCCCUUCUUCUGGAUAACCGCAUGAAAGUGUGGCUAAUACGGGAUAUUCUGGGUCUGUCGCAUGAUGGGUCUGGGAAAGAUAUUGUUUCGGUGGGGGAUGGGCUCGCGGCCUCUCAGCUUGUUGGUGGGGUGAUGGCCUACCAAGGCGGUGACGGGUAGCCGGCCUGAGAGGGAGGACGGUCACACUGGGACUGAGACACGGCCCAGACUCCUACGGGAGGCAGCAGUGGGGAAUAUUGCACAAUGGGCGCAAGCCUGAUGCAGCGACGCCGCGUGAGGGAUGGAGGCCUUCGGGUUGUGAACCUCUUUCGCCAGUGAAGCAGGCCUGCCUCGUUUGUGGGUGGGUUGACGGUAGCUGGAUAAGAAGCGCCGGCUAACUACGUG